AACACAUUUUUCUAGUGAAUUCUAAAAAUAUAUCUUGAAGGGGAACUGACUUGCAUUCUGUGAAUGAAACAUUACUAUAUUCCUUAGAUAUUUUUCCUGUUAGGCAAGUUCCUCAUGAAAAUUCUUAAAACCAUCUCUAUCUAAUGGAAAUUGACCUAUAAUUGUAACAGAAUUCUAUAUCUACACUGAGACAUAUGUCAGAUGUAGUGACAUGUUGAUUUUCUAACUUAAUAUGUAAAUAUAUAGUGAUCUAUUCGUGGUUGUAUGUCAUGUGACUCAUGUCUAUGCUAUUUCAUAUGACAAGAUGCUACACUUAAUCUUUUGUAUCAUAUUAAAAUAUUUAUGAUACUCUUAAUCAGUUUUGGUACACUGGUAUACUGCUUUUUUUUUUCGAAAGAAAAUAUUAAAGUAAAAUGAUGUCAGAGGCUAAUGAAAUUCCUUUCCAUUUGCUUUUGAUGCCAACAUUCUAGUAUUUAGUCACUCCUAGAAUCUCUUGAGGAAAAAUUGUACUAAUGUUUGUCUUUUCUUUUAGGCUGUGCUUGUGCAUCCUGAUAAAAAUAUGGGAAGCCCAUUGGCGAGUGAGUCAUUUAAGAAGCUUCAAUGUGCAUAUGAGGUUCUUUCUAACUUUGUGAAGAAAAGAGACUAUGAUGAGCAAUUGAGAAAGGAGGAAUCGAAGACCAAAAGUGUCUGCCAGAGGUCCCAGUCCUAUGGGACUUCACAACAGGUUGUGCAUAAUUUUUGUACGAUUGAUGCUGGCAUUUUAUAGUUUAAUUUAUGCGUGUUCUCAUUGAGUCAUUCAUGAUAAAUGUUCAUUUGUUUCUAACUCAGAUGAGAUAUAUGGUAAUUAGAAAGGAAGCUAAUACUAUUAUACUAAUAAAGAUGGCAAUUUCUUUCUGAAUAGACUCUAUAGGAGGGAGAGAAAAUGAAGCAUCUUCUAGGCAUUAGUCAAUCUUAUUCUUGGGUUCAUUAUACUUUGAAGUUACGUCUAGACGGCAUUAUAAGAUUUGAAGCAUUUGCUAACAUAGAGUCUUUGGAGUUGUUUGGGUUCAGAGUUGCCAUAGUUUGUGGUUAUUGUAAUUUGUGGGAUUAUAUAAUAGUUUUGUGGAGUUAGAAUAGUUUGACUUUGGGGUGUAGGCUAUUUUCGUCUGACUAUAUAGUUUGUGUUUGUGGUGAAGAUUUAGUCAUUGGUGGUUGGUUCAUUGUACUGUAACUUGCCUGUUCAAGGCUCUUUGGCAUUGGCUUUCUUGAUGGAGAAAUAAAGGUGUUGUAGAAUUGCUCUUCAUCACAAUUCUCAGAGGAUAUGAUGUAUGUAUAUCUAAAAGUUUGUUGCCAUAUUUUUCAGUCAGGUUAUGGCAAGGAGGAAAUACCGCUGGCCCUGGGAGAUAUCACUAAACAAAUGACUGCAAUAGAAGAAAUGGUUGCAAGUGAGUACAAUUAGCCAGACCCUUAUCUUUGUGACAAGAUCUUGAAGAUGGUCAUUUGUGAAGCGUUCUAGUUUGCUAUUAGUUGCAAUUUUAGUUAUUGCUCUCUCAAUAUAUUCUUUUUCUUUCUUUCUUUCUUUUUUUCCAAAGGAUGAUCAGUGUAUAAUAAUUAAGCUUCAU